rnacentral:rRNA from 1 species
ACGAACGCUGGCGGCGUGCUUAACCCAUGCCAGUCGCACGGAAAGGCCCUGCUUUUGUGGGGUGCUCGAGUGGCGAACGGGUGAGUAACACGUGAGUAACCUGCCCUUGACUUUGGGAUAACUUCAGGAAACUGGGGCUAAUACCGGAUAGGAGCUCCUGCUGCAUGGUGGGGGUUGGAAAGUUUCGGCGGUUGGGGAUGGACUCGCGGCUUAUCAGCUUGUUGGUGGGGUAGUGGCUUACCAAGGCUUUGACGGGUAGCCGGCCUGAGAGGGUGACCGGCCACAUUGGGACUGAGAUACGGCCCAGACUCCUACGGGAGGCAGCAGUGGGGAAUAUUGCACAAUGGGCGGAAGCCUGAUGCAGCAACGCCGCGUGCGGGAUGACGGCCUUCGGGUUGUAAACCGCUUUCGCCUGUGACGAAGCGUGAGUGACGGUAAUGGGUAAAGAAGCACCGGCUAACUACGUG